GGCCAGUUAGCUCAGUCAGUAGAGCAUAGCGCUAACAACACUGAGGUCAUGGGUUUGAUUCCCGUUUGGUCC
rnacentral:tRNA from 1 species